rnacentral:ncRNA from 2 species
GAGGUUGUGAGGAAAAACGCGCUCAGGGGGUGGAAACAAGGUCACACUCCCAAAAGACGUUUUGGA